rnacentral:lncRNA from 1 species
AUAAUAUAGAAAUUUUAAAAUAUACUAAAAUAGAAACCAUAAUAAAAUAUUAAAAUAGAAAUAUUCGUCAAAUCCUAAAAAAAUCCUAAAUAAAUCCUAAUAAAAUCCUAAACAUAUCCUAGUAAAAUCCUAAUUAAAUCCUAAAAAAAUCCUAACCAAAUUGUAAUCAAAUCCUAAAAAAUUCCUAACCAAACCUUAAACAAAUCCUAAAUAAUUUCUAAACAAAUCCUAAUCAAAUUCUAAACAAAUCCUAGUCAAAUCCUAAACAAAUCCUAGUUAAAUUCUAAACAAAUCCUAACCAUAUCCUAAAUAAAUCCUAAACAAAUCCUAAAUAAACCAUAAUCAAAACCUAAAAAUAUCUUAAUUAAGUCUUAUCCAAAUCCUAAUCAAUUCCUAAACAUACUUUAAUCAAAUCCUAAAUAAUCCCAAGUAAUUCCUAUAGUAGGUUUAAACCUCAAUAACUAAUGAAUGAACCAUUGAUUUUAAUUCAAAUUUUUCACACCUCUUCACAAUUAAAUUGAAAAUAAGCACAAAGUUUUUGAAGAGGAUCAAACUCACCAAAAAAAAGAUCAUUCCU